UAAGACGUUACCAUCUGUGCUUAACC
rnacentral:piRNA from 1 species